rnacentral:rRNA from 1 species
CNACCUGCCCACCACUUGGGGAUAACCUUGCGAAAGUAAGACUAAUACCCAAUGACGUCUCUAGAAGACAUCUGAAAGAGAUUAAAGAUUUAUCGGUGAUGGAUGGGGAUGCGUCUGAUUAGCUUGUUGGCGGGGUAACGGCCCACCAAGGCGACNAUCAGUAGGGGUUCUGAGAGGAAGGUCCCCCACAUUGGAACUGAGACACGGUCCAAACUCCUACGGGAGGCAGCAGUGAGGAAUAUUGGUCAAUGGACGAGAGUCUGAACCAGCCAAGUAGCGUGCAGGAAGACGGCCCUAUGGGUUGUAAACUGCUUUUAUAAGGGAAUAAAGUGAGUCUCGUGAGACUUUUUGCAUGUACCUUAUGAAUAAGGACCGGCUAAUUCCGUGCCAGCAGCCGCGGUAAUACGGAAGGUCCGGGCGUUAUCCGGAUUUAUUGGGUUUAAAGGGAGCGUAGGCCGGAGAUUAAGCGUGUUGUGAAAUGUAGACGCUCNACGUCUGCACUGCAGCGCGAACUGGUUUCCUUGAGUACGCACAAAGUGGGCGGAAUUCGUGGUGUAGCGGUGAAAUGCUUAGAUAUCNCGAAGAACUCCGAUUG